rnacentral:rRNA from 1 species
UGGGGAAUAUUGCACAAUGGGCGCAAGCCUGAUGCAGCCAUGCCGCGUGUGUGAAGAAGGCCUUCGGGUUGUAAAGCACUUUCAGCGGGGAGGAAGGCGUUAAGGUUAAUAACCUUGGCGAUUGACGUUACCCGCAGAAGAAGCACCGGCUAACUCCGUGCCAGCAGCCGCGGUAAUACGGAGGGUGCAAGCGUUAAUCGGAAUUACUGGGCAUAAAGCGCACGCAGGCGGUCUGUCAAGUCGGAUGUGAAAUCCCCGGGCUCAACCUGGGAACUGCAUUCGAAACUGGCAGGCUAGAGUCUUGUAGAGGGGGGUAGAAUUCCAGGUGUAGCGGUGAAAUGCGUAGAGAUCUGGAGGAAUACCGGUGGCGAGGGCGGCCCCCUGGACGAAGACUGACGCUCAGGUGCGAAAGCGUGGGGAGCAAACAGG